UAGGUGGGAUUAGCUAGUUGGUGAGGUAAGGGCUCACCAAGGCGACGAUCCCUAGCUGGUCUGAGAGGAUGAUCAGCCACACUGGAACUGAGACACGGUCCAGACUCCUACGGGAGGCAGCAGUGGGGAAUAUUGCACAAUGGGCGCAAGCCUGAUGCAGCCAUGCCGCGUGUGUGAAGAAGGCCUUCGGGUUGUAAAGCACUUUCAGUCGUGAGGAAGGCGGGGUCGUUAAUAGCGGCGUCGUUUGACGUUAGCGACAGAAGAAGCACCGGCUAACUCCGUGCCAGCAGCCGCGGUAAUACGGAGGGUGCGAGCGUUAAUCGGAAUUACUGGGCGUAAAGCGCAUGCAGGUGGUUUGUUAAGUCAGAUGUGAAAGCCCGGGGCUCAACCUCGGAAUAGCAUUUGAAACUGGCAGACUAGAGUACUGUAGAGGGGGGUAGAAUUUCAGGUGUAGCGGUGAAAUGCGUAGAGAUCUGAAGGAAUACCGGUGGCGAAGGCGGCCCCCUGGACAGAUACUGACACUCAGAUGCGAAAGCGUGGGGAGCAAACAGGAUUAGAUACCCUGGUAGUCCACGCCGUAAACGAUGUCUACUUGGAGGUUGUGGCCUUGAGCCGUGGCUUUCGGAGCUAACGCGUUAAGUAGACCGCCUGGGGAGUACGGUCGCAAGAUUAAAACUCAAAUGAAUUGACGGGGGCCCGCACAAGCGGUGGAGCAUGUGGUUUAAUUCGAUGCAACGCGAAGAACCUUACCUACUCUUGACAUCCAGAGAACUUUCCAGAGAUGGAUUGGUGCCUUCGGGAACUCUGAGACAGGUGCU
rnacentral:rRNA from 1 species